UUUGAUCCUGGCUCAGGACGAACGCUGGCGGCGUGCCUAAUACAUGCAAGUCGAACGGUUCUUUCUUUUGGAAGCUUGCUUCCGAUCGAGAGAAUAGUGGCGAACGGGUGAGUAACACGUGGGUAACCUGCCCAUAAGAGGGGGAUAACAUCCGGAAACGGGUGCUAAUACCGCAUAGUUUUUUUGAUCGCAUGAUCGAGAAAGGAAAGACGGCCUUUGUGCUGUCGCUUAUGGAUGGACCCGCGGCGUAUUAGUUAGUUGGUGAGGUAAUGGCUCACCAAGACGAUGAUACGUAGCCGACCUGAGAGGGUGAUCGGCCACAUUGGGACUGAGACACGGCCCAAACUCCUACGGGAGGCAGCAGUAGGGAAUCUUCCGCAAUGGACGAAAGUCUGACGGAGCAACGCCGCGUGAGUGAAGAAGGUUUUCGGAUCGUAAAACUCUGUUGUCAGAGAAGAACAAGUCGGAGAGUAACUGCUCCGGCCUUGACGGUAUCUGACCAGAAAGCCACGGCUAACUACGUGCCAGCAGCCGCGGUAAUACGUAGGUGGCAAGCGUUGUCCGGAUUUAUUGGGCGUAAAGCGAGCGCAGGCGGUUCCUUAAGUCUGAUGUGAAAGCCCACGGCUCAACCGUGGAAGGUCAUUGGAAACUGGGGAACUUGAGUGCAGAAGAGGAGAGUGGAAUUCCAUGUGUAGCGGUGAAAUGCGUAGAUAUAUGGAGGAACACCAGUGGCGAANGCGACUCUCUGGUCUGUAACUGACGCUGANGCUCGAAAGCGUGGGGAGCAAACAGGAUUAGAUACCCUGGUAGUCCACGCCGUAAACGAUGAGUGCUAAGUGUUGGAGGGUUUCCNNNCCUUCAGUGCUGCAGCUAACGCAUUAAGCACUCCGCCUGGGGAGUACGGCCGCAAGGCUGAAACUCAAAGGAAUUGA
rnacentral:rRNA from 1 species